rnacentral:rRNA from 1 species
GAUGAACGCUGGCGGCGUGCUUAACACAUGCAAGUCGAGCGGAAAGACGCGUUGCUUGCUUGUCGCAUGUCAGACGCGGGCGUGAGAGAAACACGUGGAUCCCCUACCUGGGGGUCUGGUAUCGCCACGGGAAACCGGAGCUAAUACGGUAUAAUCUUUUGAUCCGCGGGGUUCAAAGGUGAGAGUCGGCGUUGCGGUCACUUGUAGAUGGUUAUGCGCUGGUUUGGCUAGUUGUUAAGGUAAAGGCUUACCAAGGCUACGAUGGGUAGCCGACUUGAGAGGGUGAUCGGCCACACUGGAACUGAGACACGGACCAGACGCCUACGGGAGGCAGCAGUCGGGAAUGGUCGGCAAUGGGCGAAAGCCUGACACAGCAAGGCCGCGUGAGGGAUGAAGGCCUUCGGAUCGUAAAACUCUGUUUUGAGGUAUGAACAGAUUUCUAAUUAGACGAGGAGUGCGUGACGGUACCGGGCAAAGAAGCAACGGCUAACUACGUG